AUGAGAUUAUGAUAAUAUCGAACACCAUCUUUACUAAUAUUGUUCACGAAGCCAGUUGGUAGAAUUCGUGGCCAGCUAACGGAGAAACGGUAAGAUUUAAACUGUAAGAUUUUCAAUGAUCAAGAUAAUUUUUUUAAAAUUGCAUCGUGCAAUUCUUAAUAUUAUUAAUGAUAGUAUAUACGAAAAUAGUGUAAUUUUUAUAAAUUUAAUUCUUCUAUUUGAACAAUUUUAUUAUUCAAUUAUGUGAGAUUACAUUGGAAAUUGUAAUAUGUAACUAAGAGAUAGAAAUAUUUAAAUCAAUCUCUCGAUAUAUUUCAGGAAAUUUCGUUAUGUAUGUCUGUCUAAUGUUCUAAUAUGUCAAGCAGGUAAGGAAUGACAU